rnacentral:rRNA from 1 species
AGUGAACGCUGGCGGUAGGCCUAACACAUGCCAGUCGAACGGCAGCACAGUAAGAGCUUGCUCUUACGGGUGGCGAGUGGCGGACGGGUGAGGAAUACAUCGGAAUCUACUUUUUCGUGGGGGAUAACGUAGGGAAACUUACGCUAAUACCGCAUACGACCUACGGGUGAAAGCAGGGGAUCUUCGGACCUUGCGCGAUUGAAUGAGCCGAUGUCGGAUUAGCUAGUUGGCGGGGUAAAGGCCCACCAAGGCGACGAUCCGUAGCUGGUCUGAGAGGAUGAUCAGCCACACUGGAACUGAGACACGGUCCAGACUCCUACGGGAGGCAGCAGUGGGGAAUAUUGGACAAUGGGCGCAAGCCUGAUCCAGCCAUACCGCGUAGGUGAAGAAGGCCUUCGGGUUGUAAAGCCCUUUUGUUGGGAAAGAAAAGCAGCAGGUUAAUACCCCGCUGUUCUGACGGUACCCAAAGAAUAAGCACCGGCUAACUUCGUG